AUUUGAAUAUUUCUGCUCGAGGCUUCGAAAUGUAGAGAGUUAAUACUGCAAGAAAACUUCGCUUUUAUGAAACGUUUAUGAAAUAAAAUCGGUGUGUCAUGCAGAGGAAAAGGUCAGUAUUAAAUUUAGCUAUUUUUAAAACGUUUUUGAGUUGUUCUUGUUAAGUUAUUGCUGUUUUUUAAAACACGUGUCUAUAUUCAUUGUAGUACUAUUGAAUUUGAUUCCCAUUCAAGCGCUUCGUUUCAGCGCUCAGUCGCUUUAUUUUCUCAGUGUCUCUCCCUAUUUUCCUAGCAGUAAUGUUCAGAAAUACCACAGCUUUGAUUCAUUUAACUCAUAUUUGGUUUAUCUGCAAUUUCAGGGCGAAAAUUUGAAGAGAAAGUGAACUAAUUUAAGUCGCCGACAUGGUCGAAAUGCCGAAGCACUUGGUAAGCAUAAUGUCGAUUAAAGGCGUUUCCUUCUUGUUUGUUUCUCGUUUCAAGCUUCCCCAAUACACCUAAACGUUUUCUAGCAUUGCUUUGUAGUCUUAUGAACACUCUGAGUCAAGUUUAGUUACAAUAUUGGCGAAAGAUAUUGCUGUUUUUGAAACACGUGUGUAUAAAAUAAUAUGUACUGAAUUCGAUUCCCAGCGCUUCGUUACGGCGCUUGGUCGCUUUAUUCCUUUGGUCUUUCUCACUCAUUACCUGGCAGCAAUGUUCAGAAAUACCCUAGCUUUGAUUUAUUUAACUCAUAUUUAGUUUAUCUGCGAUUUCAGGGCGAAAAUUUGAAGAGAAAGUGAACUAAUUUAAUCGCCAACGUGGUCGAAAAGGCGAAGUACUUGGUAAGCAUAAUGUCCACUAAAGGCGUUUCCUUCUUGUUUUUUCUUUCGUUUUUAAGCUUCCCUUAUAAUAUACACCUUUACUACAAGAACUUUUUUAGUAAAGCCUUGUAGCUUUAUGAACACGCUCUGUCAAAUUUAGUUAAACUUUUGUUGAAAAUUUUGUCCGUACAGAGCGAAAUGCCGACUCAUAAUUUUAGGCAUGUUCAAUUCGACAUGCAUUUCAAACAUUCUAGCUUCUACAAACUUGCGUUUAUGUACAAAUUGUACUCUGAGAGGGAAGGCUAAGUUUUUUGAGUUUUUUGAGCUUGUCUAAGUUGAAUUUUAAUCCAGAUCUUUUGAAGCAGGUCAAAGACGAAAUAUCCUCGUGGUUCAUGUCAUAAUUUUAUGCAUACAUGGAUGCACGCAUUCUUGAAAAUUAAAAUAAAUUGGACAACCACACCCUGUGUAAACGAUAUUAGAGAGGUUAAGAUACACCGGUUUCGGUGUACGGGUACGAGUAGUGCCAUCUUGUUUUACUGAUGUCUGUAAUUCGAUCAUACUUUUUCUGUUUUCUUGCAAUAGACAAUGAUAUAAUGCGAAAAAUGUGCACCUUAAUUACGAGUAAAGGUACAGACAUCGACGAAAAUAUUGCUAACCAAAAUCAUGCUACCCGUAGACGUACACCGAAACCGGGGUAUCUUAGCCUCUCUAUUAAAUAACUCUUCGCUGUUUUGAAACUAAAAAUUCAUUAUCCAACUUUCUUAGAUUGCCUCAAAUUCGAUCACUCUGACGGCAAACAGUACAGAAAGACCUCUGCACAGAUUUGAAGAGACGCUCGCCUAGCAGUCGAAGCAAAACGAGAAGACGGGAUGGCAAAGGCCAAAUGAAGAGGGAUUCAAAAAACUUGAUACCAUAGUCUGGUAGUACCUGACGGAUCAGUAGAUACACCCAUCCUCAUACGAUUUCAUUCAAUCAGCCAAUUGUGAAUGAGAUGCAAAGACCUGCAAAGCGACAGUCGACGCCGCACCAUCCAGAGACCAUAACCAAUACGCCAUACCAUCGUGAAAGAUGUUCUACAUUACAGAAGGUAUAUUUUCCUCGUGAUUCUCGUUCAGUGCGUGUUCGAAAGUACGUGGGGACCACCCUGAAGACGCCCAAAUGCACAAAACAAAUUUAAAUAUGGCAAAAUUUUCCUUAAUUUCGCAAUUUAUUCAAAUUUUCUACAUUUCUUGGUAUUUGUGAAAAGCUCUUAACGAAAUCGAAAUGUUUGAAAUUCGGAAGUUUCGAUCUGGGAGUUUGUUUAUUUGAAAGAUAUUUGAAAUGAAAUUUUGAAGUUUACAUCACUUUGGUAUUUGGGUUAAACGCUAGGUAAAAUCAUGCCAGAUGAGUGGUCAAUCAUUCGUCGAAGUUCGGUGAUACUUGGGCUCGGACUUUCCCGACCUACAGUUGAGUUGCUCUGAUCGAUUGUCGUGAUCAACUAGCGCAAAUGUAAGGUCUGGCCAACCUUGCGUUUGUGCUUUUUGUUCGUAGCAUGAGAUUGGGACAGCUCGCCUGUAGGCCUGGUAAGAUCAAGCGGAAGUACCACCAAACUUUGAUUUGUGAUCGGCUUUUUGUCUGUCUGGCUUUAUCCAGCGUUUUCCCGUUAUCAUUUUGAUGUCGACUUUGGGAUUUUGGCUUGAAUAUAUUUAAUAUAAACAUUCUUUGAGGUUUAAUCUUUCAAGAAUUUCAUAGUUUUUGACUAGUUAAUGUGUUUCUCGCAGAUACUAUAAUUGUAUUAAAAAUAUUGACCAAAAAAAUUAAAACUGACCAAAACGUCAUUUGAGGUGUCGGAUGGGAGGUCCAGUGGCAGUCGUAGCGGAUACCAAUGGAUAAAUACGGAUUACUGUGACACUGUGUACUAUUGGAGAUAUUGUGAACAUUUAUGGAUAAUUGUGAACAUUAAUGGAUUACAACAAACACUUAUGGAUUAUUAUGAACAUUUGUGAAUAAAAUGUACCUCGCGAUCGACGGUUACCUACCAAUGUACCUUGACAACGAAAGCUGCACGACGGCAACGAGAUGACUGCCUCAAGGUUAGAGGGUUUAGUCUGAUAACAAGCUGUUGUUAGCUUGUUAUCAGGCAAAAGUUAGCCUGCUAUCAGGCAGUAGUUAGCCUGCUAACAGGCAGUAUAUCUGUAGGAUUCAUACCCAAGACUCUAAUUUGCAUGUUGUCGGUGAAGUCUAUGGGUUAACCGGUUUAAAAUUCCUGGCGGUCUGUGGUUAGUAGUACAUUUGCACGCAAGGUUGAUUUUUUAUUCUGAUGUUUGCAUGCUAAUAAAAAAUGAGAUAUUGACCUCAGUUAAUCAGAAUUUCGACAUCAUCUGAAUCGAAAGUCAAUCUUAUGAGGUUAACAUUUGAGCUUCCGGUCACGUGGUUCUUUGCAUGCACUCGGUUCGGUUAUUGGUGGGUUUCAGUAAGUGUUGCAGUCCAGACGAUGGAGCAAUUUAUUUGCUUCAAAUACUUGCUGGAGCAAUUUAUUUGCUUCAAAUACAAGACACAUAAAGUAAAAAAGAGUGAACAUUAUUUUUUCACUCUAGUAACUCGUAGUGAGACCCACCUAGAUAUUUGCGGUCUGUUCGUGCCAAUGUUCUUCUCUUUGUGUAAAUGUACUGCUUAGGUGUCUCCGUGUCUGUGCAUGGAUAACGCGGCGCGCAGCUAGUAUCCAGAAUAUAGGCAGACAAGUAAAACUUUGCCAGACUUAAAAAUUUUGUUUAUAUCAGUAUGUUAUGUUCAUAAAUGUAUAGAAAUAUCAUGAAAUGUGUUAGGCUUUGGCUUGGGGUUAAAUCUAACCCUAGAACCUUAACCUUAAUCCAUUACAUGAUCUGUAUAUUUGUGUACGUAAUAUAUGGGUGUAGCCAAAAUUUUAUUGAAAAGGUGGCACAGUUUUCCUUGAGUAGGAUAACUAAACUGGGUGCAAAUGGUAUCCAUAGCUUAGAGGGUGCAAAUGGUACCCGUAAGAAGAUUGGUGGAUAUUUUUGGACAAGAUGUUUUGAAAGAUCAGCUUAGGAUUGUAAUGACAUAAUUAUUGUAAUGAUAAAUAGUGUAGGCUUACGUGAAUAAUAAAUUGUCGACUCGUGGAAAGGUGUAUCUUUCAUCGCCCGUAGUGCAUGUAUAUCGCUGGUUUCGAACGUUAGUUUUCUGCCCCGGGUUAUAUGAAAACAGUUCGCUACCAGAGAUUAGGUCCCCUCUCUGUUAUUGGCACUCGACGAUGGAAGAAAUUAACAUAAGGCAUGCAAACCUUACCCCUGUUUGUGGAAGCUCACCAGGUGCAAUGGCACACUAGGUUAAGUUAAGCUAGGGGCAUGACCGAGACUCCACAUUCGGGGGUUUCCCUUGCAGGUUUUUUGAAAGGGUAUGUGCGCGCGCGCACUAAUUAGGAAGGUUAGGCAGCUAGAAAUAGGGCGCUUUGGCUGCUUUUUGAAUGUAUACUAUAUGAGGCAUGUACACUAUGAUUCAUUAUCGUCAUACUUUUGCGCCAGUAAUUCUGAGAAGUAUUUAGCACAACAGGAAAAUGGAAUCUGUCUUCCUGCUGAAAAAUACUUACAGAAAUAAUUCAAAGUGGAAAAAAAGGAAAUAUUGCGAAAAAGAGAAAAAUAAAAAGAAAACCGCGAAGCCACUUUGAAUAUAAGCAACAAUAGUCCAAGAAUACUCGUUGCAGAAAAAAAACAACAAAAAAGAAACAAUUUUCUGCCUAAAAUAUCUUGGAUUAGGAGCUUAACGAUAAGAAACGUAGUUCUCGCUCCAAAGUGGAGAAUAGGCUCGUUUCUUUAGGUUACUAAUGCAGUUGCGCGCGCGCUUUAUAAAUUACACUAUAUGUUUUCAGUUGAAAAGACCGCCAGGGAAAAUAGGGUGUUUUCAUGUGUUGCUUUGUUGACGGACAAGUUUUCAAAAUAAUGGUUUUCUUGUUUCCUUGUAUUUCGGCACUUUAACUUGUUCCCAAACAUAGCUGCCGUGAAAACACUCUGCAGAUCAAGUUCAUAUAUGGUAGCAAUAGCAAUAUAGAAUGUUUGCCAUGUUGCAUUCCGUGUUGUCUUGCAUUGUUCAUACAUAAGCUUGGUCGAACCAUGGAUCAUAAAAACACCAUGGUCGAACGCAGCUAAUUAACAUAAGCAGCGCGCGCGCGUGCGGCUGUAAUGCGGAGUACAGUCACUGAGUGUACUCCAUGUGCAAAUAGUGAAGUGUGCUCUAUAUAGUCUAGACUUGAAACAAGGUUUCAUGCGCCAAGUUUCAUGCUUAUUAAAAUUAAACGCGCUACCUUGGAUGCUAGGUAAAAUUAAGGGCAUAAAAAUCAGUGCAUGCUUUUUUUUAAAUUGAGUGCGCGCGGUGCAAUUUUCUAGCGCGCGAUAGCAAAAUACGCCAAAAAUCCAAAUAUAGAAAUGCACACAUCACAUCUUCGGAAUGCAUCCAAUUGUCCUAACACCUUUUACAAACUAUCGUAAAAUCUGUUGGGCUGUUGGAUUCAUUUGCCACGCACGUUGUCCUGAACAUAUUUGAAAUAUUUUCAAGUUUCAAGGUUAAGAUAAAUAUACCUUAUGUGGAACAAUUUGUUCAUAAAAAGGGAUAUAUUUAUCUUGCGCAAUCCGUAGACUGAAUUUUCGGGUGGUCUACAAUGUUUUAUUGAACAUCUCGUGAGAUUUUUUUUUUUUUUUGCAAGAUUUUUACCUUUCUGGAUUUUGGUAGGUAUGGGUAGGUAUGGUAUAUUAUAGUUAAUUCGUCUGUGUAAGUGGGUGGGGUUCCCCCUGCGGUUUUCGGUAUCAGGACUCAUAAUCACCAAGGUUUUUCACCAGAUCUCGCCAUGCACAGCAACCGUGCAUGGCACUUCUGGUUUUCCUCGGGUGAUUAUGCAUUUUUUCGUUUGGCAAAAUUCCAAAACAAAAAACAGUGUCCGUGUUCGGGACGAAUUUAGUACUGUAUAGAAAAAAUGGAUUAUAUAGCUGUUGUAUAUUUUCAUGUUCGUCGUUGAGUGCAUGUGUCUUUAUAUUCUGUGAAUGGAGUUGCAUGCUCUGAAAUAUAUGCAGUAAUUAUCAUAUUCCACAUCGUUAGACCCCAUUUUCCAUGUUUUGAAUUAAAAAGUGGUUUGCAA
rnacentral:lncRNA from 1 species